rnacentral:pre_miRNA from 1 species
ACAUUGAUGGAGAUAUGAGUUUGGUGUACUGUGUGUUGCAUGUCGUCAAGCAUCCAAUGGCUCGACUUGCCCGACAUCCCACAACGGGUUCAUGGUUUCAA